GACGAACGCUGGCGGCGUGCCUAAUACAUGCAAGUCGAGCGGACGAACUUUCGGUGCUUGCACCGAAUUUUCGUUAGCGGCGGACGGGUGAGUAACACGUGGGCAACCUACCCUAUAGUUUGGGAUAACUCCGGGAAACCGGGGCUAAUACCGAAUAAUACUUUUUGGCUCAUGUCAGAAAGUUGAAAGAUGGUUCUGCUAUCGCUAUAGGAUGGGCCCGCGGCGCAUUAGCUAGUUGGUGAGGUAACGGCUCACCAAGGCAACGAUGCGUAGCCGACCUGAGAGGGUGAUCGGCCACACUGGGACUGAGACACGGCCCAG
rnacentral:rRNA from 1 species